UACGAAGGGUGCAAACGUUGCUCGGAAUUAUUGGGCGUAAAGCGCACGUAGGCGGCUUUGCAAGUCCCAUGUGAAAUCCCACGGCUCAACCGUGGAAGUGCAUGGGAAACUGCAGAGCUUGAGUACUUAAGAGGAUCGCGGAAUUCCCGGUGUAGAGGUGAAAUUCGUAGAUAUCGGGAGGAACACCAGUGGCGAAGGCGGCUCUCUGGGACGGUACUGACGCUGAGACGCGAAAGCGUGGGGAGCGAACAGG
rnacentral:rRNA from 1 species